rnacentral:lncRNA from 1 species
GUCUUUGUGUGUGUGUCUUUUUGAUCAGGUCCCACUGCAAUGUGUGGACCAGUGUGAGGCAGCUGUUGUCUAUGGUCAUGACACCUUUGACCCGAUUGAACAUGGACUCGACCCUCUUAUGGAUCCACGGGAGAGUACAGAUGAUCUAUUUGGCACCUAUGAGGAAGCACUGUGUGGAGAAAAUUCCUUCCCUUUAUGCAAAUGAAACUUUCUCCAGUGCAAACUGCAUAUGGAAAUUAAAGUAAUUUGAACUAUUCUAUUGGCGUUUUAU